rnacentral:rRNA from 1 species
UACGUAGGGCGCAAGCGUUGUCCGGAAUUAUUGGGCGUAAAGAGCUCGUAGGCGGUUUGUCGCGUCUGCUGUGAAAACCUAAGGCUCAACCUUGGGCUUGCAGUGGGUACGGGCAGACUAGAGUGCGGUAGGGGUGACUGGAAUUCCUGGUGUAGCGGUGGAAUGCGCAGAUAUCAGGAGGGAACACCGAUGGCGAAGGCAGGUCACUGGGCCGCAACUGACGCUGGAGGAGCGGAAAAGCAUGGGGAGCGAAC